CAUGCCCUAUUCAGUCUUCAUGUCCUAAGAAACUUAACUCCAACAGUGCUUCCUGACCACAGAAGUGAGAACUGGGAACAACCCCAGAGUGAGGGAGCAGACAGCAAAGUGGCACUGCUAUGAGAAAGGAAGCAGGGAUCAUCUUUGAUUUUCUCCAUCUACCCUUAGCCUCUCCAUCUGCUCUUAGGCCCUUUUCAAACUCUGCGCUGUUCACAAUGCGGUCCAUACCAUCACUGGUGCUGGGAGCCAAAUCUUCUAGCUAGACAUCAGGAGGGUUAGGACGAUCCCCAUCUCACUGCACCUGGACCCAUCACUGGCUUCCUGAUGCCCUGAAGGUCUCCCCUAUAUCCUCAUUCUCCUUCAUGCCAGUACGGCAAGGCUGAUGUUUUAGCCAAGGGCCUCCACUUUACAAAAUCUUUAAUCAAUAAUCAAAAUAAUUGAAACUAAGUGAUUCCAGCAAAGGGUGGGGAGAAUGAUAAUCAUCCCUUGUUAAUUUACCCUCUUCUUGUUCCCCUAAACUCAGAAGAUAGAAAGUGACCUGAUUUUUUCACAUAGAAACUUUCACAUACAUGCUUUGAACCAGAACUCAAAUGCUUACAAUGCCAUUGCCGCACAGCAGAAUAUUGUUAACAAGGAGAUCAGUCAAAACCCUAGUAUUUUCACUCUUUGUUCCAAAUUGUACAUUUUGCUUAAGAGGAGGAAGAUUGAUGGAGAGAAAAGAAGAGCAAUCUGUACAGUAAAUUUAGAAAGUGAGUUUCACCUCCUUUAUUAGGGCUUUGAGUCAGUGUUUUAAAUUAUAGCAUCAUAAUAGAAAUUGUGUGGAAUGCAUGUUAAUAAGCAUCGGCUGUUUUCAUCAAGAGCUUUGGAAAAUAUGAAGGUUUGCUUUCCUCCUCAUGACUUUCAUCAAACAACAAUGCCUUCCCUGAAGCUACUGUAUCAGAAUGUCAUCAGGACAUGUUACAGCCUUAAAGAUGAGGUGGGCCUUCAGACAGACCUAAGAGAAAUUACUAUAGGAUUCCAGUUUCUAAAGUAAGACACUCUUCAGGGUCCCUGACUCUUCUAGGAAUUGUCCAAGAUAUAACAAGACUUGAUUCUGGACCAGAUUUGAUCAUAAUUGAAACUUCAGGGGACUCCUGGCUACAAGUUGAUAAGGAUUUUCAAGGCACAUGCUGUGACUCUACAGUGUUGGGCUGGAUUUCCAUGUCGGUGGCUUAGAGCAAGUCUGUGUGGUUGUUGAAUUGGGGGCCAUUCAGGAACUGAGUAUGCUCUGCCGGCUACGACACAGAGCCCUGGGAGGCAGCCUGGCAAGUGGACUGGAUGGGCCUCAGCACACAGGGCCCCACUCCAGCUCUGGCCUCAGGCUGUGGGUGGACAGGAGGAAAGUAUGGAGGUCAGGUCGCUUCUCUGGACCUCAACUUGGCUGUCUGUACAAUGAGAGGGUUGAACUGACGACCCAGCAGAGGACCCCAAGGAGGACUAGAAACAACGGAGACAUCAGUUAGGAAGUAUGUGGAUCCCCGAGUUAAUGCUUGUAGGAGAGCCACUCAACCUGCAGCAUCCACACUGGACUUGGAUCUUGCUUUCAGAUUCUCCUAUGAAGGAGGGGUUCAUUCAUGCACUAUUAUAAAAAAACUUUUAAAAUCAAGUCGGAAAAUGCUGGAGAAAAAUGCACAUCUGUCUGAUCCCAUCCUGAAGUAAUUUCCCCAAGACUUUGAGAUGCUUCUUUGAAAACCAACUCUCCCAGCGGACUGUGCUGUGAAGGUGUGAGGGGAAGUACCCAACCAUUUCUCAGCUCUGCUUCAAAAUAAACCCCAAAUUAAAAAACAAUGCUCCACGGUCA